UUUCAGUCCGUGGAAGCGGGACCCUCCAUGGGAAGGCCAAUUCCAGCGCCUUUGAUUGUAUGGAAAGCAACAUAUUCAGAUUCCAAGGUUCCAGUGGUCUCUACCUGUCCAGUCCCAGUACGAAAGCGUGCUUUCUCCCUAUCAUCCUUGGCAGCUGAAAGUAGAUUUGCCUACGCGUGUAGCCUCCGAGCCGAAACUUCUCUUCAAGAAAGUUGGCAGUUCUUCGUGUGUUGAUUGGCUUCUAGUGCUGACUGCUGGUAUUGAUUCGAACUUAUCAUUUGCUAUUUCUGGAGUCUGCUGACCACCUUACCAACUUGACCGGAACUUAGAGCUGAUGACUUUUCGGACUUCGUUGGUAACUAUUUUUCAUUUGAAAUGAAAAGGUUCAGCUGGACUGCCUACCAUUCAAAUGAACCAAUCUAAAUCAUGGUCUUGGUGUUGCUGGCACCGAAGAGUACAGUUAUAAUUAUUCUCGAUGAAACUGAAGCUGUAGCUUUUACUUAAUAUAAGUUGGCGUUCACGUAUGGACGAUUUUAUGUGGGAUUAAAGAAAACUUGCUACUGGUAUAAGAUACAGUUUGGACUUCCCUCAAUAGGAAAAUUUUCGUACGAAUUACGAUCACAAGAGGAAGCCUCAUAGCCUGGAACGGCGAAGUACUAAUCAGUGCGAGAACGUUACAGCCUGUGCAUUGAGGACCUAUAAGGGAAGCCCUAGAGUCAUAUAAGCCCCUAUGGACGUCAGGAAUGCAACUUGGUUCAGAUUCCAGUUUCCAGUGUUCCAGUCCAAUGAAGGGGACCUAAAUGGGAAGCCAAAUUCCAGUACCAUAUGAGCCCCGGUGACCAUCUGGAAAGCAACAUGGUUCAUAUUCCAGGGAUCCAGCUUGUGGAUAGGGGACCGCCAUGGGAAACCUAAUUCCCUACCAUAUGAGUUCCGGUAACCAUCUGGAAAGCCACGUGGUUCAAAUUCCAGGGUUCCAGGUAAGUCAUCAUCAAAGGUGAUAAGGGCUGAAAAGGUCAUGAUCAUAAAAAUCUGCUUAGACUGGAAGAGUAAACU